rnacentral:rRNA from 1 species
UACGAAGGGGGCUAGCGUUGCUCGGAAUCACUGGGCGUAAAGGGUGCGUAGGCGGGGCUUUAAGUCAGGGGUGAAAUCCUGGAGCUCAACUCCAGAACUGCCUUUGAUACUGAGGAGCUUGAGUACGGGAGAGGUGAGUGGAAUUCCCAGUGUAGAGGUGAAAUUCGUAGAUAUUGGGAAGAACACCGGUGGCGAAGGCGGCUCACUGGCCCGUUACUGACGCUCAGGCGCGACAGCGUGGGGAUCAAACAGG